UAGGCGCAAUUAAUAAAAUUACUUAAAAAAUAUAGUUGGAAAAAUGAAUUUAAGUUAUUUUACAGUGUAUUAAAGAGCCCGUGAAUAAAUUUUACACUUAAGGCGCCUUUUUUGUGCUGUAAAUAAGUUCCCACCAAACUGCCAAAAGUGGCAAAGUAAAUAGCCGGACAAAAAAGGAAAAAACCCACCAAAAAAACUUUCCCACCAAAAAAUUUCACUCCCUCGCCAAAGUGCCAAAGUGGCAAACUAAAUAGGCGGACAAAAAAAGAAAAAAAGAAAAAACCCAUUUUAAAGUUUUUCUUCCCAAAAGAAGCUUCAACGAGAGUGUGGAAAGAGAGAGACCUGAAUUUCUUAUCUAUCGAUUUCUUUGGACGAACCGUGUUGAUGGCAGUAAUUUGAGGAAAGAAAGCUUGAUUUCCUAAACUCAUCUUUCUCAGAUUGGACUCCCGACGGUGUCGAUCAUCAGCGAAGAGGUUAGGGUUUUCAACCAGCGACCAAAAAUUGAAGUUGAAUCGAGCCACCAUGGAUGACGAUUGAAAGUGGUCAGCGAGAAUCAAGUAUAAUCACUAUUUAGGGAGCUCGGUGUACCUCACUGCUGAUAGCAACUAAAAAUUCAGUGAUUUAGAGAAAAGAUAGCAGAAAGAAGAAAGUCUUUGCAGGAACUUACUUCCUGGUGCUACAAGCUACUUUCGUGGAUUUUGUACCGUGGAUUUUGCAGCUACUUCCUUAGAUUUUGUACCGUGGAUUUUGCAGCUACUUCCUUGGAUUUUGUACAGUGGAUUUUGCAACUACUUCCUUGGAUUUUGUACAGUGAGGUGGUUUUUUGACAAGUGCAAACUGAAACUCAAGUGCUAGAAGGUUUAUCAAUUUUUCAAUAGAAGUGUUAGGAAAUUGAUGAUUUUCUUGACAAAUGGAUUUACUUCCUGUUUUGGAACAUUGAUAAAUAUUGAAUUGUUUUGGCACAUUGAUAAAUAAUGAAUUGUAAAAAUAUUUUAAUUUUUUUGAUAUGU